rnacentral:tRNA from 1 species
AUGGGUGUAGCUCCGUGGUAGAGCACAUGAUUAGUAUACAUGAGGUCCUGGGUUCAGUCCCCAGUACUUCUA